GGAAAAUAUUACAAUGUUAUACUACAAGACUAUUUAUAUUUAUGUACAUUUGGUAUGGUUACCUUACUACCACAAUUGGCUACAUGUUUAUUUGACUAUAUGCACCUAUCCUUAAAUGAAAAAAUAAUAAUACUAAGAGUGUGUUGUUAAUACAAUAUUUUCUUUCGAGGAACAAUGUUGAUGAGUCACGGUGAAAGUUCUGAUCUGGCUGGUAUGCCCGAUCAUCCAUGGGUGGCAAUGAUGGAGUCUGGACACAGGAUGUCUACAGUGAGAGUGCUCACCCUGCUGUCAUGUCACAGAGAUAGUCUAACCCCAGCGGAAAGAGAUGGGUGCUGCAACUAUGGUCAGCAUAGUGCGUUGACAACCCCGUUCAAGAGCAAGGUAUUUUGACACUCCACAAGAGCAGCGGAGACAGAUCCAGAUAUGGCAAGUUACACAGCUUCUUAACUGACUUCAAAUUCAUUAAUGAAAGAAAGACCAUUGCAAAGACCAAACAGACCGAACAAGUUGACAAAGUUACAGACUUUUGAGCCUCUAUUGAAUGGCAUUGCACUAUAUUUCUUGGAUUGUGUAUUGCAUUUAGGCAGUUUGUAUACUUAAGUUUGAAAAUAUAUAAUUUUAUGUUACUUACUCUAGCAAGUUAAUUUAAGUAGACUUAUGCUAUCAUGGUUUAUCUUAUGAUAUUACACUUCAGUCACAUAUAAAGAUGCACCAGUAAAUAAAAUACUUACCUAUUUUCAUACAUUAGUAGAGUAAAUGAAAUACAUUUACUGUUGAUUCCAAAUAUAUAAUUAGGUUAUAUUCUAUAUGCUAAAACAGGCUUGUAGCAUUAAUAUGUGUGAUAAAUAAUAUUCAAAACAUUCAACAAGAAAAAAAAAACUAGACUGAAUAAAUUUAAAUUAAGACUAAUAUUUAAAAUAAGAUUAAGACCUAAUUAUGUGUCUAACAUAUCAAAAGCCAUUCAUCAUAUUCAUUCUUAUUGUCCUUCAGAUUUAUUAUUAUAGAGGGUUUAGUUUUCAAAGUAGGUACUUUACUUACAUGCCUACACUUUUAAUAGUAUUCAAAUGCAUUUAACCACGAAGGUUGUUAAUAAAAAAAAAAAAAAAUAAUAAUUUAAUUCUUGAACUUUCAUAACAUUCAUGAUAUAAAUAAUGUACACUCACCUUAUUUUUUUAGCGCUAUUGAAGUUAUUCUCAUGGUUUAUUUUAUUGACUUUUUGCAUAGGUUAUUAGAAUUUUGUCACCAAAUUAUUUACUGUGCUAUGAUGGUACUUUAACCAGUUGAAAGAAUAAUGUCAGGCACAUAAAAAAAAAAAUAAUAAUAAUAAUAGAAGGAAUGUUGAGACUUUUAGUUAGUAUGUGUCUACCAAUACAGCCUUUGUGGUGACUAGUUACUAACCUAUAUAGUACAAGUAUCAGGAUACCUAGGCUAAGUAUAUCUUUAAGUACAGGCUAAUCUCGAGAACUUUCGAAUAAAUUUGUGCGUGGCACUUGUCAUAGUCUUCACGUCUGCUAGAAAGUUACCACCAGUAAAAUAGAAACAAAAUGUGCCUAGGGGGAGCCAGGUAGAGUGGCUAGUAGUUUAUAAUAAAUGACGCGAAGUAAGAGUGUCUUGUAACUAAUCAAAAUGUUGUUUUAACUUGAAUGUUCUGGAUUAUUCACAAUCAUAGUGACGUAAACCUAAUUAAAAGAAUCUCAGCUUCUUAUAAUUACAGUUAAGUAACAUCAACAUGUAUGAUGUGGUUACUGCCGGUAGAUACUUCAAUUAAUGCGACUACUGUUAGUUUGUUAUUCGUAAUAACGUACCUAGCGUUAUCCCGAUACUAUUGAGUUAGUGUAAUUCCAUGAUCUCUGUCUACCCCAAUGUGGCCUUACGGAUUCUACAUUAUAAAGCAAUCUAAUCUCUUUGAUUAAACGCCUGUUGCGUAUCUUAUGAUUAUCGAUUUUUGCUACUUCUUCUUAUAUCGUGUGGGUUGUGAGGUGAAUUACCAACCUCAUCAACCCUGAUGUUAGGGUUAUUAUUGGGCCGUCAAGGGCCCCUGACAUGACUCAUGUAACGACUGCUUACUUAAAUUGGUAAGCAGUAACUGGGACCAACGGUUUAUUUUGUUUUCCGACAAUUGGGUGGUUAGCCUGUGGCAUCCUAACUAAACUAAGGAUCACAAAGUGGGUUUUGUGAUGUAUCCCCACAGGGAUUCGAACCCGGGACCAACCUCAACCUCUGGAUAAUGAAGGCCGAUUUCUGCUUAUUAUCAAUGUUAUCUAUUUUGCUAGUACUUAAAAACACUAAUAUACCUAUCUUAAACGUUGUAUGUAAUACUGUCCACUGCAAGAUAGUUAUGAGUCGGUAUACCAAAAAUUUAAGACUUAUAAAUACAAUAUGUUAUCUAGCCGUCAGACCAAUAAUUCUUAUGUGAUCGAAAGGUUUGAUGUUAUAAAUUGCGGUUAAAUACCUAAGGAAUAUUAUCCAAAUAAGCACUUAAGUUUGAGGGCAUUUUAGUGAUUCAAAAACGAACUCGUAAUGAUUAUAAAAAAAAGAGCUAUUAGAAUGUAUGGUAAACCUGGAAUGCAACAAUAUAUGGAUACAAUACAAUUACUCGUUAUUGAACCAAAACAAGACUUAUCAUCAAUACGCAGCAAUUGGCGACCUUAUCGAUGUAAUAAUAAUAAUUUCUUAUAUGUGUAUAAAUCGUAAAUGAUGAUAUUAGUCGAUUAAGUUUAACGUAAUACCUAUCACAUAAUAAUUACUCGAAUAUGCGACAGAAGAAUAUGUGUAGGUACCUAGUAUUAUAUUUAUUUGUAUGUUUCAUAAACAUAACUAGCGAAAAGUGGGUAUUUGCAUACUAUACACCUCUGCUCACCCUUUCGGGGAUACAAGCGUGAUGCUCUGUUAUGUGCUUUAUUCAUUGUAACUUUAAUUUUUAAAUCAGUUAGUUAAAAGGUUAAUUGGGCAUUACAUUAUUUAUCAGGGAUUCCCAAUAUUUGUAUUAUUACAGUUAUUACAACCAUACUUAUUAGGAUACAAUUAUUUACACUUGUUUUAUCCAAUUACAAUGACAGCUACUUAUCGACCACUACUUUCGGACGGCGAUAUAAUUCACCACUUAACAUUAUUAAUUAGACCAGAGCUUUGUUCGAAUGAGGCUCGGUUAGACGUGUGUACUUGGUUCAUCAUACGACGGCUCCCAACUAAUUGGGAAUAUAAUCUUAAUUCAGUUCUCUUUUAUUUUAGUUGUAUAGCGAAAUAUAGACAAACCUAAUAAUAUGCUUACGACAGCGAUUAUUCGAGUAGGUUCCGUGAAACCUACAGGUUUCACAGAAAAGCCAAAAGGGGUACCCAUAAUUAUUUGUUUUGGCUGCCAUUAAAUACUAUAGUUCAGUAUUGGAUGCCACACCAGAUAAUAUGUCAUGUCCAUAUGCAAGUGUCAGAAAAAGGUGUGAAAAUGGAACAAGUUCAGUAUCUCUAGGUAUUCACAUUUAAAGUUGAAUAACAUGUUUCUUUUAAUUAAAAGGUGCUCCUAAUUAAAUUAUAGUGUUAGUGUAUUAUAGUAUUCUGUAGUUCUUUUUUUAAAUCCAAGUGAUUAGUUUUGUAAUCAUUUAAUGUGGGGUUCCGUUAAAAGGGAAAGUUGUUCCGAACUCUACAAGAUGUUGAAAAUAAACACAAGUAAGAAAGAAUACUUACAGUCAUCUUAGCAAUUACAAAAACAUAAAAGAAGUACAUUAUGUAAUUAAUACUUGUUAUUUAUUUGAUGAUAAUACUUAUCAAUUUAAUUAUCCAAUAUUUUGUUUCGGAAGAGGCAAAAAUUAAUUUAUUGAAAAUUAUUAAAGCAUACUUUAUAGUAUACCUACUCAAGUAUACUCUUACUAAUUACAUGGGAACCGAUUACGGUUUAUACUAAUUUAUAAUAGAUAUACUUAAUACCCUGACUCUAUUCAGUAAAGAACCUGCAAAUAUAGAAAUCGUUAGCAGAUAAUUUUACAAACUGACCAAUUUUAAGGGUCAACAGAUAAUUUUACAGACUGACCAAUUUUAAGGGUCAACAGAUAAUUUUACAGACUGACCAAUUUUAAGGGUCAAUAGAUAAUUUGACAGACUGACCAAAUUCAAGGGGUCGACAGAUAAUUUGACAGACUGGCCAAUUUCAAGGGUCAACAGGUAAUUUCACCAACUGACCAAUUUCAAGGGUCAACAAAUAAUUUGACAGACUAACCAAUUUCAAGGGUCAACAGAUAAUUUUACAGACUGACCAAUUUUAAGGGUCAACAAGUACCAAUGCAAUGCCAUGAUUUAACUGACAAAUUGCCGAGUAAGACAGAACUGGUCUAUACAAUGAGACAAUAAAUAUAAUAAGUGGUAGCAGUAUAAAUUAUAAACUGUUUAUUAUUAGAAUCAGAAUGAUCACCAGCGAUUAUCCUUCGGUACUGGUCAACUUCAAGGACAAGUAUAGAAUCAGAAUAGUCACCAGCGACUAUCCUUCGGUACUUGUCAAUUUCAAGGACAAGUAUAGAAUCAGAAUAUUCACCAGCGAUUAUCCUUCGGUACUUGUCAAUUUCAAGGACAAGUAUAGAAUCAGAAUAAUCACCAGCGACUAUCCUUCGGUACUUGUCAAUUUCAAGGACAAGUAUAGAAUCAGAAUAGUCACUAGCGACUAUCCUACGGUUCUUGUCAAUUUCAAGGACAAGUAUAGAAUCAGAAUAUUCACCAGCGAUUAUCCUUCGGUACUUGUCAACUUCAAGGACAAGUAUAGGAUUACAGUGAUCACCAAGGAUCAUACUUAGGUACUUGUCAAUUUCAAGGACGAGUAUCAGGAACUGACUAAUUUCAAGGGUCACUAACAAGGACGUGUAUUAGGAACUGACUAAUUUUAAGGGUCAGUAAUAGGUUUAGGGUGAUCACCAGCGAUCAUCCUUAGGUACUUGUCAAUUUCAAGGACGAUUAUCAGGAACUGACUAAUUUCAAGGGUCAGUAAUAAGCUCAGGGUGAUCACCAGCGAUCAUCCUUAGGUACUUGUCAAUUUCAAGGACGAGUAUUAGGAACUGACUAAUUUCAAGGGUCAGUAAUAAGCUCAGGGUGAUCACCAGCGAUCAUCCUUAGGUACUUGUCAAUUUCAAGGACGAGUAUCAGGAACUGACUAAUUUCAAGGGUCUGUAAUAGGCUCAGAGUGAUCAUCAGCAAUCAUCCUUAGAUACAUAUCAAUAACAAGUACCUAGGAAUAUGUGUUAGGAACUAACCAAUUUCAGGAGUUAGUACUUACGGUCAUUUAACUUUAAUAAAAACUUUAUUGAUCUAAAAUGUGUCUUAUCGUGCAUUUACUUAGACUUACAUUUGAUACAGUCAAAUAUACCUACGGUAUUUUAUAUGUAAAUAAAGUAAAGCUUGUGAAGUUUGUGUGAAGGUUAAUCUAAGAGAUAUUUAUUUUCAAAUUAGAAAGUUACAUGUCAAUUUCAAGUAAGGACAUGUAUUAUAAACUAACCAAUUUCAAGGGUUAGUAAGGCUUUAAGUUUAUUUAACAUUAAGCAAAUCUCUAUUUAUGCAAAAUGUGCCUUAGCAUGUAUUUAUUCAGACAUACAGUUGAUACCGACAGAUAUAUCUAUAGUAGUGUUAUUAGAACAAGUUUGUUCGAAGUUUAAGCUUAAAGUUAUCUUUUUUUUUCAAAAUCAGUAAGUUUAUAUUAUUUACAGUACUUUAAUAGUGAUAAAGAUUGUCAAGUAACUUCAAAGAGUAUCGCUAGAAAUAAGCAUAUAAACUCUGUCAUUAUACUUAAAAUUCCUACUGUAUUUUAAUUUGCGUAACGAGUGUAGCAUUAUAUAAAAAGAAAAGAAAUGUACUUCUUAUUUUAUUGUUAGUAGCUCUAAUGAACAACGAAGGGACUCGUUGAUAUAUCGGAUGGCCGAGUUGUUAUGAUCUUCAUGAUAUGGGCUAUAAACUGUUACAAAUAACACUAGUAUUACAGUUGUGUUGGUAUACAUUAAUAGUUAUCUUUAUGUUUGUUUCAAUUAUUCCUGCAUUAAUAUAAUAAUUGAAUGUACAAAUACCUAGUUAUAAAUAUAUUGUUAUACUUAUUGUAAAUUAUUUUAACUUCAAUUACUCGUAUUAGUAACUCGCUCUGUAAACGUAUCCUCUCGUUUGACGUGAGAUGUCAACUGUCAACUCGAGGAUUCGCAGUCUGUAGUUAGCGCCAAAACGUACGGCUUUGUUAUUGAUAAUGUUAAAAUUAUAUUUCUAUUUAAUAAAAGAUUUACUUGUUA